UUCCUGGUUCCAGGGAACCCCACGCUGUCUGCUUUGCCCAGAGACCCAGCUCCCUCCCUUGGAGCAGGCUCGCUGCCUCCCGGGUGUGGUAGGGGUGGCUGGGCCUCCCUUGGACAACGCUGGCUGGUUCUCUUCUCUGGCUGAGAGUCAGAUCCCGUGCUUGCCCCAACCCAGAAGCUUCCAGGAUGCUUUGCCUGAGCCAGGCCCUGGCCAGGGCCAGAGAAGUCCCCGUCCUCCCGGCCAGGCAGGGCAGGGAGCUGAGCCCAGGACGUGGAACAUGCAGACUUGGAUUAGCUGAGGGCUGGCUGUGGCUGGGGGCCCUCCCUGGCCUCUCUCUCAGAGCCUGUUUCUUUCCUUGUGAGGUGGUGACAGUAGCCCUGACGUCACAGCAUGGAGCAGGAUCACAUGAACAGCAAAUCCUGGCCCACGCUGCAGCCCCCCGCCGCAAUCCUUCCGGGCCCAGCCUGCCCCAGGACACACUCCCUUAGGAAGGUCUUUGCUACUGAACGGCUCGUUGGCCCUCACGGACCCUCAGGUGCGUGUCCGACAGCCCCUCUGGAGACUCACAGCCCGGCCUCCGUGCCUGGCUCAGAGCCGGAAGAGCUCCGCAGCCUCCGUCAGUCACACCGAGCCCAGCCUGGGGAAGGCCCCAGAAGCAGGAGUGUGCAGCCUCACAGACCGCACCCGGCCCUCCGCUCGGGGCUCUCUGGCCUGCGUGCUCAGAGCAGGAGGAGGUGGCCCAGGCUGUAGCCCCUGCUCAGGAGGCCGUGGAGAACCAGCUGGAGUCCCCACCACGCCCUGAGCGAGGGGGCGGCAGAAGGGAGGCGGCUCUGUCUCCGUGACAUCAGGAGGGCCCGGGGGGCGGAGCAGGAAGACGAGUGACCACGACGCCAGGUAUGGCGCUGAGCACCACGUGCAGGCCUAGCCGGUGACCCUCACAAGCCCUGCAUAAGGUCAGGGUCACGCUCCCAUUUUACAGAUGGGGAAGCCCAGGCACCCGGACCACGCAGGGGGCCUUGUGCAGGACAGGGGUCAUGUCUGGUCCCGUCCAGGUCACCUUACAGGUGAGACGCCCGGGCCCGCAGGUUGAGGCCGGCCAGCCCCCUCCCAACAGACCCCCUUGGUGGCUCUGAGUGAGGGCUGGUCCAGGGACAGGGCCUGAGGGGCACCACUGGGACCCAGCUGGAGGGUGUUCAGGAGCCAUGAGGCUGCAGUCAGGCUGGCCCUGGGAUGCCAGAGGGGAUGCAGCCCCCACCGGGCCCCUCCUGUGGCCACAGCACAGCCCAGCCUGCCCCAGACAGGCUGCCAAGGCCUGGUUCAGGCCAGGGUGCCGGGCUGAGGUCGUGCCCACAUUGCCA
rnacentral:lncRNA from 10 species